UUUGAGGGGGAUGUUGUUUGGCUCGACACAAUUACUCUCUUGUAUGUGUUUAUUUAUUCGUCAUCAAGAUUGAUGUUGAUAACGAAUAAAUUAAACACAACAAGAUAUGUAAAAAGGGAGUAAAGGCGUCGGACCAGGCUUCAUUCCUCUCAAA
rnacentral:pre_miRNA from 1 species